AGUGAACGCUGGCGGCAGGCCUAACACAUGCAAGUCGAACGGCAGCACAAGAGAGCUUGCUCUCUGGGUGGCGAGUGGCGGACGGGUGAGGAAUGCAUCGGAAUCUGCCCAUUUGUGGGGGAUAACCUCGGGAAACCGGGACUAAUACCGCAUACGACCUACGGGUGAAAGCAGGGGAUCUUCGGACCUUGCGCAGAUGGAUGAGCCGAUGCCGGAUUAGCUAGUUGGAGGGGUAAAGGCCCACCAAGGCGACGAUCCGUAGCUGGUCUGAGAGGAUGAUCAGCGCGACUAGGACUGAGACACGGCUCAGACUCCUACGGGAGGCAGCGGUGGGGAAUAUUGGACAAUGGGCGCAAGCCUGAUCCAGCCAUGCCGCGUGUGUGAAGAAGGCCUUCGGGUUGUAAAGCACUUUUGUUGGGAAAGAAAAGCAGCCGGUUAAUACCCGGUUGUCAUGACGGUACCCAAAGAAUAAGCACCGGCUAACUUCGUG
rnacentral:rRNA from 1 species